CUGGACUCUGAGAAUGAAGCUGAGGCUGCUGUUUGUGGUUCUCCUGCAUGUUUCCCAGCAUGCCUCAGGUGUGGAGGUGUAUGAGGGGGUGGAUUCUGUCCUGCUGCCCUGUCAGGUAGCAAAGAAUGUUUCCAGCGACACCACAGCAGCAGUGUGGGACCGUGAUGAAUUCAAGAAGCCAACAGUCCACGUGCGUCUGCAGAGCGGAGAUGAUCUUAAAGAACAAAACAAUCGUUACUCCAACCGAACAUCAAUGAGAGCCGACGCCCUGCAGACUGGAGACCUCAGCCUCAUUCUGAGGAACCCUACAGUCUCUGACAGUGGAACCUACACCUGCACCAGCCGGAAGUAUGGACGAGAUCUGAGGCGGACAGAAGUACACCUGAGGGUCAAAGAACCUCCACUCUGGCCCAGAGUCCUCGCAGGUGCCCUGGUUCUCCUGGUUGCCCUGAUUGUUGCCUUUGGCGUCAUCCUGUAUUGUGAACAUAAAAGGUUUAAGACUGUAGAAGGUAACCACACCAGCUGAAGCACUGGACAUCACUGGGCCCCGGCAUGAUCCAUAACUACAAGUUAAAGAAGCUGACUGCACUCCAUGAGUGUCUGGGAGCACAAAUGAACCAGCCACUAACGGAUGAGACACACCUGGAAUGACUGACUGAAGGCUGGACAGUCCUUAUCCCCAAGGAUCCCCUGAAGGGACUUAUCCCAUCCAACUACCAGCUGAUAACUUGCCUCAGUACCACAUGGAAGCUCCUGUCAGACAUCACAGAGGCUAAGACUGUCAUGUGAGGCUAUGCAGCAGGCUGGAAGUGGGCCCAAAUGCAGACACUCGUGCACAGAAAAGACAAAAUUAGAACGGCAGCUUUAUUUGCUGGAAAAACAUCCAUCAUAACAUAAACCCACAGAAAUACAAACCAAAACCUUGAGUAUAAAACUGGGAAACUAGAAACACAGAGAGGCUUACAGCACAUGAGGAGGAACAGCGUGACAAUGGAAAACACAAGGCUAAUAUACACAAGGGAGUAAUGAGUUUAUGGGAAACAGAUCUGACAACACCCAAACAUGGAUCCUAGAGUAUUUAGAGCUGUAUCAACAGGUACCUUAGAGCCUUUAUCAGGCAUCACAAGCACGUGUUGCAUUUACCAGGGACAGCUGCAUACAGUAUAUCUACUGAGGUACAAUAUAUAAGUAUAAUAAGUACAUGUAUAAUCCAGGGCAAUUAGUUCAUACGUAAUAUCGGACAGUGCGUGAGACAGACAGUGGAAUUUGUGCUCUCACUGGUAUUAGAUUAUGCUCUGAAUAAUCAUAAAUUUUGAAGCUUGUAGUUGAUGGCUCUUAAAGACUUUCUUCUUCAUGUCUCUCUCUGAUGACAUCUGUAAUCUUUAAAUCAUGUGACAGAAUCAAAGACAUGUGUGACUGGAUCAUGUGACGUUAUGUGUUUGUCCUCAUCAG
ensembl:lncRNA